AUGGAGUCCGGCGGUGCAGGCGAGGUGCGGCACUGGAACGCCGACGUCAACGGCGUCUCCCUCCACGUCGCCGAGCAGGGCCCCGCCGACGGCCCGGCGGUGCUCCUCCUCCACGGCUUCCCGGAGCUCUGGCUCUCCUGGCGCCACCAGAUGGCCGCUCUCGCCGCCCGCGGCUUCCGCGCCCUCGCCCCCGACCUCCGCGGCUACGGCGACUCCGACGCCCCCGCGGACCCCGCCGCCUACACCAUGCUCCACGUCGUCGGCGACGUCGUCGCGCUCCUCGACCACCUCCGCCUCCCAAAGGUGGUGGUGGUGGGGCACGACUGGGGCGCGCAGGUGGCGUGGCACUUCUGCCUGUUCCGGCCGGACCGGGUGCGCGCCGUCGUCGCGCUGGGGAUCCCGUUCUUCCCCCGCUCCCCUCGUCCGAUGGCGGAGAUGUUCGCCGCGCGCGGCGAUGGGUUCUACAUCACGCAGUUCCAGGAGCCUGGAAGAGCUGAAAAGGCAUUUGCUCGGUACGAUGUCGCAACUGUCCUAAAGAAGUUCUACUCCCUUCAAUUAGAUGACCUUGCUGCCCCUCCUGGAGUAGAGGUCAUAGAUUUUUUUGAGGCAUCAUCAUCCCCACUUCCUUGGAUGUCGGAGGAAGAACUGGGACAGUAUGCCGAGAAGUUUCAGAAGUCUGGCUUCACAGGACCCCUCAACUACUACCGCGCCAUGGACACGAACUGGAAGCUUAGUGCGCCCUGGCAUGGUGCAAAGAUCAUGGUGCCUGCGAAGUUCAUCGGGGGUGAGAAGGACAUCGGUGUCGAGUCCUUUGGAGUCAAGCGCUACAUCGAGAGCGGGGGUUUCAAGUCCAAUGUUCCUGAUCUUGAGGUUUCCAUCAUUGAAGGACACCAUUUCCUCCAGCAAGAGCAGGCCGAGAGGGUGAACUCUGAGAUACUGUCCUUCCUGGACAAGCUUUCUGGAGAGGAAGCACAUAAUAAGAACGAAGUUGGCGAGGAGGUGGGUAACUAA
rnacentral:rRNA from 1 species